UGCAGUCGAGCGGACAGAAGGGAGCUUGCUCCCGGAUGUUAGCGGCGGACGGGUGAGUAACACGUGGGUAACCUGCCUGUAAGACUGGGAUAACUCCGGGAAACCGGAGCUAAUACCGGAUAGUUCCUUGAACCGCAUGGUUCAAGGAUGAAAGACGGUUUCGGCUGUCACUUACAGAUGGACCCGCGGCGCAUUAGCUAGUUGGUGGGGUAAUGGCUCACCAAGGCGACGAUGCGUAGCCGACCUGAGAGGGUGAUCGGCCACACUGGGACUGAGACACGGCCCAGACUCCUACGGGAGGCAGCAGUAGGGAAUCUUCCGCAAUGGACGAAAGUCUGACGGAGCAACGCCGCGUGAGUGAUGAAGGUUUUCGGAUCGUAAAGCUCUGUUGUUAGGGAAGAACAAGUGCGAGAGUAACUGCUCGCACCUUGACGGUACCUAACCAGAAAGCCACGGCUAACUACGUGCCAGCAGCCGCGGUAAUACGUAGGUGGCAAGCGUUGUCCGGAAUUAUUGGGCGUAAAGGGCUCGCAGGCGGUUUCUUAAGUCUGAUGUGAAAGCCCCCGGCUCAACCGGGGAGGGUCAUUGGAAACUGGGAAACUUGAGUGCAGAAGAGGAGAGUGGAAUUCCACGUGUAGCGGUGAAAUGCGUAGAGAUGUGGAGGAACACCAGUGGCGAAGGCGACUCUCUGGUCUGUAACUGACGCUGAGGAGCGAAAGCGUGGGGAGCGAACAGGAUUAGAUACCCUGGUAGUCCACGCCGUAAACGAUGAGUGCUAAGUGUUUAGGGGGUUUCCGCCCCUUAGUGCUGCAGCUAACGCAUUAAGCACUCCGCCUGGGGAGUACGGUCGCAAGACUGAAACUCAAAGGAAUUGACGGGGGCCCGCACAAGCGGUGGAGCAUGNGGUUUAAUUCGAAGCAACGCGANGAACCUUACCAGGUCUUGACAUCCUCUGACACCNUAGAGAUAGGGCUUUCCCUUCGGGGACAGAGUGACAGG
rnacentral:rRNA from 1 species